UACGUAGGGUGCAAGCGUUAAUCGGAAUUACUGGGCGUAAAGCGUGCGCAGGCGGUUUUGUAAGUCUGUCGUGAAAGCCCCGGGCUUAACCUGGGAAUGGCAUUGGUGACUGCACGGCUAGAGUGUGUCAGAGGGGGGUAGAAUUCCACGUGUAGCAGUGAAAUGCGUAGAGAUGUGGAGGAAUACCGAUGGCGAAGGCAGCCCCCUGGGAUAACACUGACGCUCAUGCACGAAAGCGUGGGGAGCAAACAGG
rnacentral:rRNA from 1 species